GCUGACCGAACAACAAAUCACAAAUAUAUCCUACUGAAUAAACAAAUCAUUUGACCAACCCAGUAGAUGCGAUCGAACAGUCACAAGUCACAACAGAGUACCGCAAGGGAACCACCAUCAAGCAACAAGCAGCAAAGACUAACCCUUGUACCUUUUGCAUCAUGGUUUAGCAAGAAUCCAAGGACAAGAAGAAUCACAGCCCACCCCCCGAAACCGAACGAGCUAUUUUUAAGCAGUCUAACGGACGCACCCUUCUAUGUAGCAAAAUNGUGGGAAGACUUAAAA
rnacentral:rRNA from 1 species